GGGUGCGAUCAUACCAUCACUAAUGCACCAGAUCCCAUCAAAACUCCGCAGUUAAACGUGCUUAGGCUAGAGUAGUACUAGGAUGUGUGACCUCCUGGGAAGUCCUCGUGUUGCACCCC
rnacentral:rRNA from 1 species